AAAUUGUCUGAAUAAGAAGUUGAAGGAAAAUGUCUCCAACUAGCUCUCUAAACUGAAAAUAAACUGAAAUACUGGAAUAAUAAAUGUAACGAUCAUGUCCUCGAAUGAUGAGGACUCACUGCUUACUGAACUGCUACUGCUGAUCUGGAAUCUGCACCUCAAAACCUAUGGUGUAACAUAAAAAGAAAGCACCAUAGCGCAAAUGCGUCAGUACAACUAAAGUACUGAGUAUACGUGGGGGUAGGCUAAAUGCAUGGGGUUUAUAUGCAUGAACAUGUUGACUAAUAUGAACGUGAGAAUACAUACAUACGUAACUGCUACUGAACUCGUGGAGAUACUGACUACUUGAAUUUGAAAUCUGACAACAUGAGUUUCGUGAUACUAAGAUACUGAAUAACUGAUAACAUGGAUGACUGUAUCUAACAGUCCUAAUUCUGGGAAAAACUAUCUGAGUUCCAAACUGUAUCUGAACAUCUAAGUCUGAGAUCAGUCCUAGCUAAUGAGUGAUCUUUGAAAUUGAUAAUGAGAAUACUCGACUGAAUCUGAGAUUGAGAUCAAGCUUGUCUGCCGGGUGACCUCUAGAUCUAAUAAUAAGCAUCUGAAUAUGGGACCACGCCUAAAUGACGGGAUGGUCCAGGAAUCAAUGAAACUAUCUGAGUUCCUUACUGAGAUCAAUGACUGUCUGACAGUCCUGAUUCCUGAUUUCUACUCUGAAGACUGAUACAGAAACUGUAACUGUGACUGUGGGAGGUAGUAACCUAAUCGACAUACCCCGAUACUGUACUGGUGGGGUCUAAUCUUUUCCCUGAUUGGAAGGAUGUCAAUAUCGUGCCACGAGUAGAGACCUCUACUAUGGUCAAGCCUCUCUGAUGGAUGACCCUGAAUAGAAAAUCAAGCCUAAGGCAAUAUAAUAGUCAAGUAUAGCCUUAAUCUGACGGGUGACACCUGUCCUGCGCUGGCUACGCAGUUCUGGAGUACAGGGAUUGUUGCUAACAGCUCUGCCUUUAUAACAGGAAAAAACCGCUAUCCCUGCACUCGCUCGGUGCUAGUCUCUACUCCCAACUAAAAGACUCUAAAAAGAUUAACUGAACUGAACUGAUUUAUAAACUGAUUAACUGAGCUGAUAAUAUUUUCUUAGCUGAACUAAGAUGAAUUCACUAAGUUUUAUUGACUGACGGAAAAGCUACUUGAGAUCUAAGGUCUGACUGAGAGUACUGAAACUAUUGGGACUACUGAACUACUGAGAUUUCUAAGUUUUUUUGAGUCACGUGACUAACUGAAAUCUAUAGAGCAUAGCUUAACUGAGGAUGUCUUGAAACAUGACACUAGCUCUAGGCACACAGCUAUAGUUUUAGGGUACAAGUACCCCCAGGACUCGAUGGAAGAAAACUGACACAUAUGACUGACUUGAUCAUAAGAGUAGAGUCCACAAUUCACAAUAUCAUAAGUAAGGAUUUCAUAAUAAGAAUGAUUCUCAACAAACUAUCACAUGGUCGAGAAUGCACACAACAUGUAUAUACUUGCAUGGCUUCAAUAACAUGGUCAUUCCAUAUCACAACAAUAUCAUGAGCAUCUCAUACAACAUCUUCAAUUCAAGACAAUAGCAUGGGGAUCACGUUGAACAUAAACUUAGAACAUGGAAUAGUCAUUUAGGACUUAUUAUGUCAUAAAAGCAUGAUUUCUAUUCCCUUAGGUAUUUC
rnacentral:lncRNA from 1 species